GAUGAACGCUGGCGGCGUGCCUAAUACAUGCAAGUCGAGCGAAUGGAUUAAGAGCUUGCUCUUAUGAAGUUAGCGGCGGACGGGUGAGUAACACGUGGGUAACCUGCCCAUAAGACUGGGACAACUCCGGGAAACCGGGGCUAAUACCGGAUAACAUUUUGAACCGCAUGGUUCGAAAUUGAAAGGCGGCUUUGGCUGUCACUUAUGUGUGGCCCCGCGUCGCAUGAGCUAGUUGGUGAGGUAACGGCUCACCAAGGCAACGAUGCGUAGCCGACCUGAGAGGGUGAUCGGCCACACUGGGACUGAGACACGGCCCAGACUCCUACGGGAGGCAGCAGUAGGGAAUCUUCCGCAAUGGACGAAAGUCUGACGGAGCAACGCCGCGUGAGUGAUGAAGGCUUUCGGGUCGUAAAACUCUGUUGUUAGGGAAGAACAAGUGCUAGUUGAAUAAGCUGACACCUUUACGUUACCUAACCAGAAAGCCACGGCUAACUACGUGCCAGCCGCCGCAGUAA
rnacentral:rRNA from 1 species